rnacentral:rRNA from 1 species
UGGAGUAAAAGGNUAUGGCUCAACCAUAGUGUGNUCUGGAAACUGUCUGACUUGAGUGCAGAAGGGGAGAGUGGAAUUCCAUGUGUAGCGGUGAAAUGCGUAGAUAUAUGGAGGAACACCAGUGGCGAAAGCGGCUCUCUGGUCUGUCACUGACGCUGAGGCUCGAAAGCGUGGGUAGCGAACAGGAUUAGAUACCCUGGUAGUCCACGCCGUAAACGAUGAGUGCUAGGUGUUAGGCCCUUUCCGGGGCUUAGUGCCGGAGCUAACGCAAUAAGCACUCCGCCUGGGGAGUACGACCGCAAGGUUGAAACUCAAAGGAAUUGACGGGGGCCCGCACAAGCGGUGGAGCAUGUGGUUUAAUUCGAAGCAACGCGAAGAACCUUACCAGGUCUUGACAUCCCGAUGCUAUUCUUAGAGAUAGGAAGUUACUUCGGUACAUCGGAGACAGGUGGUGCAUGGUUGUCGUCAGCUCGUGUCGUGAGAUGUUGGGUUAAGUCCCGCAACGAGCGCAACCCUUAUUGUUAGUUGCCAUCAUUAAGUUGGGCACUCUAGCGAGACUGCCGGUAAUAAACCGGAGGAAGGUGGGGAUGACGUCAAAUCAUCAUGCCCCUUAUGACCUGGGCUACACACGUGCUACAAUGGUCGGUACAACGAGUUGCGAGCCGGUGACGGCAAGCUAAUCUCUGAAAGCCGAUCUCAGUUCGGAUUGGAGGCUGCAACUCGCCUCCAUGAAGUCGGAAUCGCUAGUAAUCGCGGAUCAGCACGCCGCGGUGAAUACGUUCCCGGGCCUUGUACACACCGCCCGUCACACCACGAGAGUUUGUAACACCCGAAGUCGGUGAGGUAACCUUUUAGGGNCCA